rnacentral:rRNA from 1 species
GAUGAACGCUGGCGGCGUGCCUAAUACAUGCAAGUCGAGCGAACAGAUAAGGAGCUUGCUCCUUUGACGUUAGCGGCGGACGGGUGAGUAACACGUGGGUAACCUACCUAUAAGACUGGGAUAACUUCGGGAAACCGGAGCUAAUACCGGAUAACAUUUGGAACCGCAUGGUUCUAAAGUGAAAGAUGGUUUUGCUAUCACUUAUAGAUGGACCCGCGCCGUAUUAGCUAGUUGGUAAGGUAACGGCUUACCAAGGCAACGAUACGUAGCCGACCUGAGAGGGUGAUCGGCCACACCGGAACUGAGACACGGUCCAGACUCCUACGGGAGGCAGCAGUAGGGAAUCUUCCGCAAUGGGCGAAAGCCUGACGGAGCAACGCCGCGUGAGUGAUGAAGGGUUUCGGCUCGUAAAACUCUGUUAUUAGGGAAGAACAAACGUGUAAGUAACUGUGCACGUCUUGACGGUACCUAAUCAGAAAGCCACGGCUAACUACGUG